CUCAUUUCGUAUUAUCUAUUUUUGCAGUGCCAUUCGACAUGCGAAUCAGCAGAGCAAGAGCGCUGUCUCUUGGAAACAGAAACUAAAGUCCUGAAAGAAGAUCUUAUCAACACUAAACAAAGCCUGGCAGAGUCUGUAACACGUGAAAAUGCGCUAUUGGAUUUUAAGAGAACAAUUACAAACCUCUUGGGCUUGGAUUGCUCUUCACUUGAUUUCGAAGUUAUCUCGAGGCUGACCAAAGUGGUAAACGCUCACCGUGAAUUCACGUCCGUCUCACAGCGGUACAAUGACCCUACGCUCAAAACAAGUCCGCAAGGCCUCACCAGCCCAGAUAAUCAAAGACGGCACUACACAGAGCUAGAAAAUCACAACCGAAGACUUUUCUCCGACGUAGAUAGUAAAGAUAACAGGAGAAUGCUCUCGGAUGUAGAUAGCAAAGACAAUCGGAGACUGUUCUCUGAUGUAGAAAGCAAAGACAACCGUAGACUAUUUUCUGAUGUAGAUAGCAUAGACAACCAAAGACGACUUUUCUCAGGCAUUGAUAAUCAACGGCCAUCCAGGCCUAAUUAUAAGUCGGACCUGAAUUCCGAUUAUUUGAACUCUUUGAAUGAUGAUUUGGAGUCAGACGUACAUGCUAUUUAUAAUAAGCGUCCAUUGAGAGCGUCCUAACAUUGACCCUUCUCUUAUGCUGUGCUUGUAAACUAGGUAUUCUAGAUAAAAACUUGACGCCAAAUCAGGUCUCAGAUUAAGAUAAAUGAGUGCUACACGACACUAUGAAAUGCUCCAAUCACUCCUACGUUUUCUAUUUUUUAAAAACUUAUGUAAUUUUUAAAUAUGAAGAAAAAUCUUAGGAGUGUAAAACUACCGAAAACAUAAGAUGGUUAAUAUUCUCUCGGUGCAAAGAGAGUCAGACUAAGUUCAGUGAAAAGUCGAAAAGGGACAAAACCACUUUAAAUUGAGGCUGAGAAAAUAGUUUUGAAGUAUUCCUCUACUUCUGCCGUGCUAAGCAAGAACGCCGUAAAUCCAUCAAGAUUUUCCCUCCUUUUUGGAACUUAACACUAUGGAAUAUAAACCGUUUUACCCAUGCGCCUCAAAUUUUCAGGUUAAGUUUUUGAUAGUAUUUGUGAAAAAACUCGGUAAAAAAAUUGUCCCAAGGUGCAAGCUUUUUUACAAGUUUUUCUGCUAUGAUACGUUGUUUCCAAAAAAUGUAAAAUGGCGUUUACAGCGUUUUUUGCGUCGCUUGGCAGACUUGACUCCAUGUUGAAGAUCAAGUGUAAAGCCCAUUUUCACAUUCAAUCCAUGUUUUCUCUUUUAAAAUGUUUGAUAAAUGAAAAUACCUGACUAGUUGAGCCAAAAACUCCUGACUCAUUAUCCGCCGAAAUGCAGCUUAUUUCCUUCUUGCCUAAGUCAUUCCAUUUAACAUGAAUGAACUACAAAUGAAGGAUGUUGUUUAAAAAAAUGCAUUUAUAGACCAUGUUAGAAUUAGGCAAUUCUUCUUUUGUGGGGAUUUGAGCUCACUUCAAACAGAAAUAUUAGACAUUUUUCUUUCAAACCCUGUAGGAUUGGAGUAUAAGAGUCCUCAGUUUGGACUUAAAAAUAAGGCAUAACUUCUCCAAAGGCUCAACCACUUUAAAUGAAGCUUUGAAUAAAGCUCAAGAACAUGAAAAGCCUUCCUUUCAGCAAUUUCACAUUUAUUUUUAGCUGAAAUUGGGCAGUCUUUUGUGAGAACGUUAACAAUUGGUGACCUAAGUCUCUUGCAUAGGCCAAAGUGAGAAAUUGUGCAUCUUCAUCGCGGUGUUUCAAAACUCUUGCUCCUAUUUUAUUUUUGUGAAGAAAAACAAGUCAACUUCAUAGCUUGAAAUUUAUACAGAAUAUUCUGCUGCUCUCAGAGAAGAAAAAUCAAGGUAAUCCUCAAUAAAUUAUGUCAACCACUUGUUCUAAGAAAAAUAUAGCACAACAGGAAAUCAGCAAUGUUGCCAACAGAGAUACAUAGUUUUACACUUCAGCCAUUGAUAGGGUACUUGUCGCGAUGGUUUGAAUUUCCGCGAAAAAAAUAUAUUUAGACUCUUUCAGCAUUUUAACAAGCUUGAAAGCAUCGCAUGAUAACAACAGCCAUCUAAUGUCGACUGGAUGGAUUUUUGUAGGUAAAGGGUUUAAUUUAUACAUUAUCUAACUGUUAGCAGAUAUUCCCCCUUGCAAAGAAAAAACCUAUUAAUAUGAGCUUUACGAUAUGUACUUGAAAGGUUUCAUUUCAGCAAUAUCACAUCAAAUUAUCUGGAACCUAAUUGGGCUGAACUCAAUGGGCAUUGCCGCUCUGUUAUAUUGUAUUAUUAUUUGGCUAGAUUUUACCACUUUGUAUAUUCUGAGCCUCGUAGUUAAUUAGUAAAUUUUUAAAUAUUGUUAAACUCCAACGAGAUAUCUUAAGAAUUGUUUUGUUAUAAAUAAAAACUUUUUCAUUUGUGUUAAGCUUUUGCCAUUUUUUUGUGACUCAGAGGAUCCUCAAAAAGACCAAGACUGUGCAGAUUUCCAUAUGAACUUUAUUUUGCAACUAGGAACUACAAAUGCUAGCUCAGUUUAGACUCAACGUAGAUUCCAUUAUUUUCCCUAUGCACGUGAGAGUUUUUGUGGAUGAGCCACAAAAUGUAGUUCCUAAUUGCAAAUUGUUGUCCAAAUCUUAACUGAUAUAUCAAGUUACCAAAAGUUAGAAGACAAAACGACUUAAUUUUUUCGGAAGUUACUUAAUAGCCAAUUUUACAAUGCUCUCCCGCACUUUGUGACCAAAUAAGAGAUAGUUUUAUCCUUCAAGAGAGAGGGCU
rnacentral:lncRNA from 1 species